rnacentral:lncRNA from 1 species
AGGAUGUACCAAUUUAAUCGGAGUCAUCGAUCUCCGACUCGAUGAUCCAACAACUGAGAAUAUUUUAGAUUGGAGCUAUCAAAAUUUUAGAUCUCACUGGUAUGAUCUCAUCAUGAUCUUAAAAUCAUUAUUCUAAUCUAUGUGGUUUAUCAUAAUCAUAUAAAAAUGAUGCAACAAAUGAUAAAACAUAAUACCUCAUAUAAAUAAAAUAACUAAUAUCAUACAAAUGAGUAAAAAGAUAAUAAAAAAAUAUCUCAUCGCAUCCCC